rnacentral:rRNA from 1 species
AGUAACGGAGGCGCGCGAUGGUUCUCUCAGCCUGAUUGGAAACCAGGCGCAGAGUGUAAAGGCACAAGAGAGCUUGACUGCGAGACAGACAUGUCGAGCAGGUACGAAAGUAGGUCUUAAUGAUCCGGCGGUCCCGCGUGGAAGGGCCGUCGCCAACGGAUAAAAGGUACGCCGGGGAUAACAGGCUUAUCGAUCUCAAGAGUUCACAUCGACGGAUCGGUUUGGCACCUCGAUGUCGGCUCAUCACAUCCUGGGGCUGUAGUAGGUCCCAAGGGUUUGGCUGUUCGCCAAUUAAAGUGGUACGUGAGCUGGGUUUAAAACGUCGCGAGACAGUUUGGUCCCUAUCUGCUGUGGGCGCAGGAAAUUUGAGAGGGCCUGACCUUUGUACGAGAGGACCGGGUUGGACGAACCUCUGGUGCACCAGUUGUUUUGCCAGAAGCAUAGCUGGGUAGCUACGUUCGGAAAGGAUAACCGCUGAAAGCAUCUAAGCGGGAAGCCUGCCUCAAGAUUAGAUUUCCCUACACGAAAGUGGCUGAAGGACCCCGGAAGACUACCGGGUACAUAGAUUGAUAGUGUAAGCGUUGCAAAGCGUUGAGCUUAUCAACACUAAUAAGUCCGAGAGGCUUUCUUUU